UACGUAGGGUGCAAGCGUUGUCCGGAAUUAUUGGGCGUAAAGAGCUCGUAGGCGGUUUGUCGCGUCUGCUGUGAAAACUCAGGGCUUAACUCUGAGCUUGCAGUGGGUACGGGCAGACUAGAGUGCGGUAGGGGAGACUGGAAUUCCUGGUGUAGCGGUGAAAUGCGCAGAUAUCAGGAGGAACACCGGUGGCGAAGGCGGCAUCCUGGACCAAUUCUGACGCUGAGGAGCGAAAGCCAGGGGAGCAAACGGG
rnacentral:rRNA from 1 species